rnacentral:lncRNA from 1 species
UGCAAAGGUUGAUAAAGCUUCCUUUGGAGAUGGGGAAGGCCUGGAGAACACACGCGUUUGUUCGCCUUCCUAUGGCACAGUAAUCACUUUCUCAGGCUCAGCUGUUUUCUUAAAAUUGACCAUGUAACGUGAAGAGUGAGUUUUGGAAGACAGAGAGACAGACAGACAGACAGACACAGAGAGACAGAGACAGAGGAAAAGGGAGAGAAACGGAGAGAGAUCUUACUUCAGAUGCUGCCCUGGAAGUUAUCACAUGCUAUUCUUUGUGCAUCUCUGGGGAGCGCUUCCCUGUGCCCCUGCAAACGUUGCUCUGUAUUUCCCCUGCACCGCAAUCGUUGGAGCACCAUGGCACGUUAAACAAGGAGAAGGCUCGGAGCAGAACGCUCGAGAAGGUGAGCUGAUCGAAAUGAAGACACUUAGUUCCGGUCUCUAACGCAGCCUCCUCAAAUUCAGUUCACAAUUACAGGGUGUAACCAUCGUUGACAAUUUUAUUAUGUGUACAUUACCAUACUCUCUCUCAAUGUCGCCCUAAAAACUAUCUAAGGAAGAUGAGCUCUCCUUUCACGAUUUUGAUAGGUUAAAGUCAUUGCACAAAGGAUAUUUAAGUUAAUUUUGGACAUUUUGUGAGAAAAUCGAUGACUGAAUCAAAG